ACGAACGCUGGCGGCGUGCUUAACACAUGCAAGUCGAACGAUGAAGCCUAGCUUGCUAGGUGGAUUAGUGGCGAACGGGUGAGUAAUACGUGAGUAACCUACCUUUAACUCUGGGAUAAGCCUGGGAAACUGGGUCUAAUACCGGAUACGACCAAUCUCCGCAUGGGGUGUUGGUGGAAAGCGUUAUGUAGUGGUUAUAGAUGGGCUCACGGCCUAUCAGCUUGUUGGUGAGGUAACGGCUCACCAAGGCGACGACGGGUAGCCGGCCUGAGAGGGUGACCGGCCACACUGGGACUGAGACACGGCCCAGACUCCUACGGGAGGCAGCAGUGGGGAAUAUUGCACAAUGGGCGCAAGCCUGAUGCAGCGACGCCGCGUGAGGGAUGACGGCCUUCGGGUUGUAAACCUCUGUUAGCAGGGAAGAAGAGAGAUUGACGGUACCUGCAGAGAAAGCGCCGGCUAACUACGUG
rnacentral:rRNA from 1 species